rnacentral:lncRNA from 1 species
UAGGCCAUCAGGGCUGGCUCCCUUCAAAGGUUUUAUAAUUUUUCUAUGCUGUGAGUUUUAACUGCUUAACUUUUUGAUCCAUCUAGUGAUUAUUUUAGUUACGGUAAGAAAGAAAGUUGUGUAUUGCUGUUUUUCAAAAUUUUAUCUCAUCUUCUCAGCACCGUUUAUCAAAUGAUUCUUUCCCUCUUUGUUGAUUGAUGAUGAUUCCAAUAUCAUACUUUCAAUUUUUAGGUAGCAAAAAUUGGUACCAAAAAUUAGGCAGGGUCUAAUUCUGAGUUAUUUAUUUGAAUCUAGGUGUGUGUGCCAUUUAUGUUUGUAUGUAUGUGUGUGUGUAUGUAUGACAUGAUUUUAACUACCUUAAUUUUAUAGUUGGUUCAGCACGUUUUUUUUUUUUUUUUUAAAGAUUUUAUUUUUUCCCUUUUUCUCCCCACAGCCCCUCGGCACAUAGUUGUACAUUCUUCGUUGUGGGUCCUUCUAGUUGUGGCAUGUGGGACGCUGCCUCAGCGUGGUUUGAUGAGCAGUGCCAUGUCCGCUCCCAGGAUUCGAACUGACGAAACACUGGUCCUCCUGCAGCGGAGCGUGAGAACUUAACCACUCGGCCACGGGGCCAGCCCCUGGUUCAGCACAUUUUUAUUGAGAGCUCACAUGGAUCAAAAGGCCUAGAGAAAAAAAGAAUGAAAAUUCUCCUGUUUUGGAUAUUCUUUAAAAGCUUAUACUAGUGCCUGCUUGGCUCUGCCACGAUCCCCUACUCACCCUGUGACCACUGGUCACUUCUGGGAACUCUCAGACCCUCUUAUUGAUAGACUACAGCUUCUCUACAUGGGAACAAGUGGAGAGUUUGAUAUAGACAAGGUAUCCUUCCAUUUCCUGCCAUAUUCCCUCAUUCUUCACUCUUACCAGCACCUCACAUAGGGCUGUAUGAACGUAUUUGACUUUCUUUGAUGAAAAGUUGGGGGUACAAUUAAAGGUGUGGGGGACUGGUCUUGGCCACGCCAAGAUAUGUCUCUUUGGCAUGAGGAUUAUUUGAGGCAGGUUUCUUUGCAGACAGGAAAGCAACUGAAAAGUAGAACUUGCUUACCCUUUUGUUAAGAGACAUCUACAUUGUAAAGGAACUCUCCAUCUGUAAAGAUAUCUUCCUCUGUACCAGGAAGAAGGGGAGAUGACCUUAUCUCUAGAAACUCUUAACCUUAUCUGUAGAAACUCUUAAUUAAUGGGGAAGGCAAGGACUUAAAUCUGCAUUUUAUUGUGCUUGUCUGGUAACCUCCUGUAACUGACUUCCCUCCCCCUCCCAACGUUGGCAUUUCUUUAAGGAUUAAGCAUCUUUCCUUAGGCUAGGAACUGAUUUCUGCACUCACCUGUGACCACCCAGCUCAAGACAAUCGACUUGCCUCC